rnacentral:lncRNA from 1 species
CCUCAUAGAGUCUCUUGCCAUGGUUUAUAGUGUUUUAUGAAAUUUGUCUUAAUUGAAAAAAGACCAAAUAUUUCAAAUAAGCUUAUAGGCAGCUGUGGCCAGUUAAAACAAUGGGAUUGUACAGUUAGUUCCUAGAAUGUUAUUUUGCACUAGUUGUCACUUAGAAGGAUGGGGUUCCUGUAGUUUUUUGGUGCUAAGGGAUACUUUGUCACUAUGAUGAAGUAAGUGUUAAGUGUCAGAUAAAUAGCACACUGAAUAGUUCUUUCUGCUGGUCUGUUUUUUCCUCUAAUUCCCUGGAAAUUCUACAUUGCUGCUUUGGUGGCUCUGUGAGUAGUUCUGUAAUGCUUUACUUCAUAGAUAUAAAAUACAGCAUAUAAAAUUUGAAGCAAUAUUUUUUCAGCCUUAUCUAUUAAAUGAAACUUUCUAUAAUAGAAGCUGUUACUGAGGAAAGGAUGACUGAAUUAUAGGAGUUUCUUUCAAUAUUUCAAGGUCUCUAAAAUUUUAAAGCUUGCUGUAUUAGAAGAAUUUGGAUUGCCUGAAAUAAAUGAUUUUUUUUUCAUUUUUCUUUCUAUCUCAUUCAGCUGAGGAUGCAUAUCAGACUCA